GAGACACUGAAAGACACACAGGAUAUGCUGCUGUGGAUAAGAGCAGACUUUUUGGCCAGGGACAUAACCAGAUGGCACUGCUGAAGUUGGAGCAUCGGUAAUCCUCGAGCUGUCUCUUGAGGCUUUCUUCACUCGCCUUUUGUUGCUCUAUCUUCAUUUUGCUCCUGAGCCAGAUCCUCCUCUGCUUUCUGGAGAAUCUUGCUGGUGUAGUACCGUCCUUCGUUACCCUGCAUCAUGCCGUCCACUAAGGCAAGCAGCUCAGACACCUGCUCCUUGCUCUUGGAGCUAUAGUUGCUGAGGACACAGUACCUGCCCCCACAUCCGGCUACCAGCUCAGCUAGAUCCCUGCACUGGUCUAUCAGACACUGCUUCACAGAUGUCCCUUCUUCCAGAAGGUCUCCAUGGGUAAAAACCACCACUGAGAAUGUCAAAGCGUGAGGGCCCAUUGCCUGUUUGAUCUGCCGCACUGCCUCCUUGUCCUCCUGCGUGAACCUCCCAAUCUGAAUAACAAGCAAGAACGCAUGGGGCCCAGGGUAAAGUAGGCUAACACUCCUCUUCAACUCCCUCUGCACCUCCUGUGGAGUCUGAUGAGCGUUCAGCAGCCCUGGGGUGUCCAGGAGCAUCAGGUGUCGCCCACGAAAAUCUCCGCUGGCCCUGCGACAAUGCUUGGUGACGGAGGAGCUGCUGACCUUUGAGUCAAAGACCUUACGGCCCAAGAUGAAGUUGGCAGUGGAGCUUUUUCCACUGCCAGUCUUCCCAAGCAAAACUAGUCUGAUCUCAGUGAAGGAGGUACAUGGCUUCCUGCCUGAAGAGAAAAAAAUGAGAAAGGAUAGGCUAUGUUCAAAAGAAAAAAAGAAAGAAAGAAAGAAAGAAAGCGAAAUAUAAGUCGCAGCUUACCCGCACAGCUGAUGGAAGACAGCUGCUUGCUAAUAGAUGACAUUUUGUUUCUGCUCAUUUUCCUCCAUAAAUUGACAACAAAUGAGAGCAGUUCAUCUCUAUAUAGAUCCCAACCUUGUGGGUGUGACUGCCCCUACGACACGUUAAUCCCCUGUGAACUCUAACCAUCGUCAUCACCAUGUUUGUAAAAUCAGUCUGGAGAAAGUGUGGCCCAAUAGUCUGUCUCUGUAACACUCAGCACAGUAGGCCUUAUCUCUUACCAUACCAUCUCCAGCAAGGGGGCAUUGUUCAGCAAAGUCAAAGAUCUGGGAAGUAGCCGAAGUGUGAUCAAUGUCCAACAGAUUCUUUGAUUGUUGUGUUGCUUUAUUUUAAAAGUAGGCUGAAUAGUAGCUGUUAAUGAAUCACCGAAAAACAAUAAAUUAGUCAUUUUCCUAUCAGCGUUGAGUCACUUCAUGCAGAAUUUAGAGACUGGACGAAACCAUUGACACACAGUUAAUGUACUACAGUAUUGGUCUUAUCUCUCCAGAGGAGAUAAAAAUGUAGGUGUACUUUCAUGUCAUCUCAGCAGGAACUCUUUGUUGUUGUUUUCUCGCAUUUUCAAAUGUACAGUCUUCAAUCCCAACAGACACUGACUCAAGUUUCCCACAGCUCCCUCUGAAGACUCAAAACAUUUUAUAUAACAUUUUUUAUAUUAUAUUAUAUUUUUCAUAUGCAGUAGUACUCUCCCAGGACCUAUAAACACCCUAUGAUGUUUAACAUUGGUGGCAUUCUCCUUUAAACCAGGAGUUAAUACAGAAGUGCGUACAGGUGUGUGUUUGUUUACGAAUUCCACUAGACGAAGGCAGAUGUUAGUCCACCUGAUGUGACAAGUCAGGCAAGUUAUUGACAGUUUUUAUCAUGAUGUGGUGCAGUGCCUAUGGAGACCCUGAUGUAAAUACUUUGGUAACACAAGGACAAAGUCACUAAAGACUCUGAGAGAGAACUUGAAGUGGAUUCCACUCUCUUUAAUGAUUGUGUUAGUAUUUAUACACUUUUUUUGUGAUUUUAUUAAUUUAAUCUAUUUUAAUACUGCCUGAAGAAAGAUAUUCUGCGAACGUGGGAGGGUAUGUACUGUAUUUGGAGUCUGUAAAUGGGAACACCUAUUUAUAGAAAUAGUAAUGAACAUCAGCUUGAGCCUGGAAUAAUAAAUGUAUCUGAUGUUAUUUCUUACAUUAGAAAUAGUCAUGCCAGCAGUAAGAUUUUAUUUACUGUAAAAUGAUUUGGAAUUUAAGACACUUUUUAUUUCAUUUGAGUAAUCAUUGUUCCAUCACAUUAUUCCCGUUUACCCUCUUUGUUUAUUGUUUCAAAUCAUAAAGAAUACAGUUCACUUGUGGGGGAACUAAUGUCUUACUGAUUUAUUGUUUUAAUCACAUUUUUUUUUUUCUAAACUAAUCUUGCUGAUUGAUUGUUUCAACAGUGAGGAUCUGGAAAUACUCUUUUAAAGCAGUGUCUUGCAGAAUGAAUGUAUCCUUAAAAUCACUUCUUGAAAUAUACUUUACCAGUGUUACACCUUACAGCCCAUUAAGAGGACGAGCUGAUACUUUACAGAUUCCCUGUCUUUUAUGUCCUUUGGUAUCACUGAGCUGUCCAUUGGGCACUUUCUAAAUAAAU